rnacentral:rRNA from 1 species
ACUUUGAUUAUGGCUCGGGACGAUCGCUGGCGGCGCGCCUAACACAUGCAAGUCGAGCGGGAAGCUUUUUAAGGAUUCUUCGGAUGAAUUAAAAAGUGGAGAGCGGCGGACGGGUGAGUAACGCGUGAGAAACCUGCCCUAUACAGGGGGAUAGCCAUUGGAAACGAUGAUUAAUACCCCAUAUGACCACAGUAUCGCAUGAUACAGCGGUGAAAACUCCGGUGGUAUAGGAUGGUCUCGCGUCUGAUUAGCUAGUUGGUGGGGUAACGGCCUACCAAGGCGACGAUCAGUAGCCGGCCUGAGAGGGUGACCGGCCACACUGGAACUGAGACACGGUCCAAACUCCUACGGGAGGCAGCAGUGGGGAAUAUUGCACAAUGGGCGAAAGCCUGAUGCAGCGACGCCGCGUGAACGAUGAAGGCUUUCGAGUCGUAAAGUUCUGUUCUUGGGGAAGAUAACGACGGUACCCAAGGAGAAAGCACCGGCUAAAUACGUGCCAGCAGCCGCGGUA